rnacentral:rRNA from 1 species
ACAGGAAUUAGCUUGCUAAUUCGCUGACGAGCGGCGGACGGGUGAGUAAUGCCUGGGAAUAUGCCUUGAUGUGGGGGAUAACUAUUGGAAACGAUAGCUAAUACCGCAUAAUGUCUUCGGACCAAAGAGGGGGAUCUUCGGACCUCUCGCGUCAAGAUUAGCCCAGGUGAGAUUAGCUAGUUGGUGGGGUAAGAGCUCACCAAGGCGACGAUCUCUAGCUGGUCUGAGAGGAUGAUCAGCCACACUGGAACUGAGACACGGUCCAGACUCCUACGGGAGGCAGCAGUGGGGAAUAUUGCACAAUGGGCGAAAGCCUGAUGCAGCCAUGCCGCGUGUAUGAAGAAGGCCUUCGGGUUGUAAAGUACUUUCAGUCGUGAGGAAGGGUGUGUAGUUAAUAGCUGCACAUCUUGACGUUAGCGACAGAAGAAGCACCGGCUAACUCCGUGCCAGCAGCCGCGGUAAUACGGAGGGUGCGAGCGUUAAUCGGAAUUACUGGGCGUAAAGCGCAUGCAGGUGGUUCAUUAAGUCAGAUGUGAAAGCCCGGGGCUCAACCUCGGAACCGCAUUUGAAACUGGUGAACUAGAGUGCUGUAGAGGGGGGUAGAAUUUC